rnacentral:rRNA from 1 species
UACGGAGGGUGCGGGCGUUGUCCGGAAUCAUUGGGCGUAAAGAGCGUGUAGGCGGCCAUGUAGGUCCGGUGUGAAAACUCGAGGCUUAACCUCGAGAUGUCAUCGGAAACCAUUUGGCUAGAGUCCGGAAGAGGAGAGUGGAAUUCCUGGUGUAGCGGUGAAAUGCGCAGAUAUCAGGAAGAACACCAAUGGCGAAAGCAGCUCUCUGGGACGGUACUGACGCUGAGACGCGAAAGCGUGGGGAGCGAACAGG